AAUUAUUAGAGGUAAAAGUAGAAUGGUAAUAAAUUAUAAAAGAUUAAAUGAUAAUACAAUAGAUGAUGCUUAUAAUAUACCAGAUAAAAUAGUUUUAAUAAAUAAGAUUCAAAAUUGUAAUAUUUUUAGCAAGUUUGAUUUAAAAUCAGGUUUUUGGCAAGUUAAGAUGCAUCCAGACUCAAUAGAAUGGACAGCCUUUACUAGCCCAGAAGGACAUUUUGAAUGGCUUGUAAUGCCAUUUGGUUUAAAAAACGCUCCUAGUAUAUUCCAGAGGAAAAUGGAUAGUAUAUUUAGUAAACAUAAUAAAUUUAUUAUUGUUUACAUAGAUGAUAUUUUAGUAUUUAGUAAAAAUAGAAGAGAACAUAGAGGUCAUUUACAAAUUCUUUUUUCAGAAUUUAUUAGACAUCGGUUAAUCAUAAAUAAAAAGAAAAUGUUUUUAUUUAAAGAAUAUAUA
rnacentral:lncRNA from 1 species